AGUGAACGCUGGCGGUAGGCCUAACACAUGCAAGUCGAACGGCAGCACAGGAGAGCUUGCUCUCUGGGUGGCGAGUGGCGGACGGGUGAGGAAUACAUCGGAAUCUACCUUUUCGUGGGGGAUAACGUAGGGAAACUUACGCUAAUACCGCAUACGACCUACGGGUGAAAGUGGGGGACCGCAAGGCCUCACGCGAUUAGAUGAGCCGAUGUCCGAUCAGCUAGUUGGCGGGGUAAUGGCCCACCAAGGCGACGAUCGGUAGCUGGUCUGAGAGGAUGAACAGCCACACUGGAACUGAGACACGGUCCAGACUCCUACGGGAGGCAGCAGUGGGGAAUAUUGGACAAUGGGCGCAAGCCUGAUCCAGCCAUACCGCGUGGGUGAAGAAGGCCUUCGGGUUGUAAAGCCCUUUUGUUGGGAAAGAAAUCCUGUCGAUUAAUACUCGGUGGGGAUGACGGUACCCAAAGAAUAAGCACCGGCUAACUUCGUGCCAGCCGCCGCAGUAAAAC
rnacentral:rRNA from 1 species